rnacentral:tRNA from 3 species
GGGCCCUUAGCUCAUUUGGUAGAGCGCCUGCCUUGCACGCAGGAGGUGGUCGGUUCGAUCCCGAUAGGGUCCACCA